rnacentral:rRNA from 1 species
CACCAGGUUGAUUCUGCCUGACGUAUGUGCUUGUCUUAAAGAUUUAGCCAUGCAAGUUAGUGAAACUUUUUAAGUGAAACGACAGACAGCUCAGUAAUACAGUAAUGAUUAACUUGCCUAAUAUAGGAUAACCUUGGUAACCUAAGGCUAACACUUUUUUCAAAUUAAAAUGUAGGUGAAACUAUUUUUAAUUUUUUUUUGGGGCAAUUAAGUUUCUGACCUAUCAGCUAGAUGUUAGGGUAAAGGCUUAACAUGGCUACAACGGGUAACGGAGAAUCAGGGUUUGAUUCCGGAGAGGGAGCCUGAGAAUUAGCUACCACGUCUAAGGAUGGCAGCAGGCGCGAAAAUUACCCAAUUCCUUAAUGGGAGAGGUAGUGAAAAGACAUGAUUUUCAUUUCGAUUGAGUCGGUACAUUAAAUAAGUACUGAAGCAACUGGAGGGCAAGUCUGGUGCCAGCAGCCGCGGUAAUUCCAGCUCCAGUAGCGCAUAUAAUAGUUGCUGCAGUUAAAAUGUCCGUAGUUGAUUUAAUUAAACUGUGAGUAAAUUAUAGAGCUCAAAACUAUAAGUAAGCAUGGUAUUAUAAGAUAAUAGGAACAGAUGAUGGCAAUAGUAUUCAAUAGUUAGAGGUGAAAAUUUAAGACCUAUUGAGGACUACCAGAAGCGAAAGCGAUUGUCAAGGAUGUCUCCAUUAAUAAGGGACUUAAGCUAGAGUAUCGAAGAUGAUUAGAUACCGUCGUAGUUCUAGCUGUAAACGAUGCCUACUAGGUGAUGUUUAAAUGGCUAUGCCUUAGGAGAAAUCAAAGUCUACGGGCUCUGGGGAUAGUAUACUGGCAACGGUGAAACUUAAAUGAAAUUGACGGAAGAAUACCACGAGGAGUGGAUUAUGCGGCUUAAUUUGACUCAACGCGGGACAACUUACCAGAGCCGAACCUGUAUGAGAAUUUAUAAUGUAAAUGAUAAUAGGGAAGGUGGUGCAUGGCCGUUUUCAACACGUGGGGUGACUUGUCAGGUUAAUUCCGAUAACGCGUGAGGUUUAUUAAAUAAUUGUUUAUUUGACGGAUGAUAAGAAAUCAUAGGAAGUUAAGCUAUAACAGGUCGGUGAUGCCCCUAGAUGUUCUGGGCUGCACGCGUACUACAAUGAUAUAUUUAAUAUUAAUAUUGAGAAAUAUAACUCUAAUAUAUAUCGAAGCUGGGAUAAGCUAUUGUAAAUUAGUUUUGAACUUGGAAUUCCUAGUAAUCAUAAGUCAUUAUGUUAUGAUGAAUGCGUCCCUGUUCUUUGUACACACCGCCCGUCACUAUCUAAGAUGGAUGUAUAGGUGAAAUGGCUAGACGUAAAUGGAAAGCAGUUAACCUGUGCAACUAAUAGGAUAUAAGUCGUAACAAGGCUGCUAUAGGUGAACCAGCAGCAGGAUCAUAA